AGUGAACGCUGGCGGUAGGCCUAACACAUGCAAGUCGAACGGCAGCACAGGAGAGCUUGCUCUCUGGGUGGCGAGUGGCGGACGGGUGAGGAAUACAUCGGAAUCUACUCUGUCGUGGGGGAUAACGUAGGGACACUUACGCUAAUACCGCAUACGACCUACGGGUGAAAGCAGGGGACCUUCGGGCCUUGCGCGAUUGAAUGAGCCGAUGUCGGAUUAGCUAGUUGGCGGGGUAAAGGCCCACCAAGGCGACGAUCCGUAGCUGGUCUGAGAGGAUGAUCAGCCACACUGGAACUGAGACACGGUCCAGACUCCUACGGGAGGCAGCAGUGGGGAAUAUUGGACAAUGGGCGCAAGCCUGAUCCAGCCAUACCGCGUGGGUGAAGAAGGCCUUCGGGUUGUAAAGCCCUUUUGUUGGGAAAGAAAUCUAGCUGGCUAAUACCCGGUUGGGAUGACGGUACCCAAAGAAUAAGCACCGGCUAACUUCGUGCCAGCAGCCGCAGUAA
rnacentral:rRNA from 1 species